CUGCUCUCGAGAUUCGUGCAAACACUUGAAAGUAUCUCUGAAAACCAAGACCACUGGGUACUUGACCUCCCCUCACAGACACUGAAGCAAGGCCGGCAGCCUACAACGCUCCCCACCUCCAGCACUCACAUUUGUGACUAACCCACAAACAUCGCUCCGAACUACCAGGGCGGGGGGCCGCCUUCCUUGCCGGUGCACUUCAAAUAAAAACAGCUCAGCGAUAAACCUGCCCCUACAGUGACCUUCGAGGGUGAAGCCUCAGCGCCGCUCUCCCGCCGGGCCGCACCGGCUCUCCACAGGCACGCGCCCACGCCUCGCGCCGUUCCGGAGGCUUCCCGCGCCGCGCAUGCGCAGUGCCGACCCGCUGACAGGCGGCCCGGCCCGGCCCGGCGCUGCCUCGAGAUGGCGGCCGAGCCCGAGGGGCCGAGUGCGCCCCCCCCCCGCGUACGGCCGCCACCCGCCUUCCCUCAGGUACGUGAAGGAGGUUUUAGGGGGGCUCAGUGUCGGAUAAUUCAGUCUGUGGUUACAGCAGGAUUGUUUUUGUUGAUUGGCUGAACUGUUUGGGGGCGAAAGGUUCACAUACAGAAAUCAAGCAAAAAUUAGAUGCUUUUCUGUGAAUUUAGUUGUCACCAAGAUACAGGCAGUUUUGUAGCGUUCAGAUUUCAGUCAUUUUCAUUUUACGUUUACUGUGAGACAUGUACAGCACUUUCCAAACCAGGAGCCGUUUCCUGUCAGUAACACCACGAGUGCUUCGCUCCAUCUUCACUGAAGCUGGGCCUGUCUUUCCACUUGCGCUCUUCUGACAGCCUCAUGCACUUGGAAGCAGUAAUAAGUGGUAAAUUUUUCAUCAUUAGGACAAGAAGCUUAUACUGAGUGGGCAACAACUUCUCCCGUGGCCAGAGGUUGGGGUAAAUGCUGGAGGACGCAGUGUCAGAGGUGGCUGUGCAAAGUGGAACCGCGGCAUCUCUCAAAACUGCUGGAAUUGACUCAAGGGCAUACUGGGAAUCAGAGCAUUAUGUAAUUUUCCCAAAUAGGAAGAUUUCCAUGACAAAGGCAGACAACUCGGCACAGUGCUGUGUGAAAUACAAAGGGAGCUGGAAAAUGCCAAGAUUGGAGCACAGAGUUUACUCACAUACUCACAUUCCGCUCUCACUUGCUUCGGCUGCUCUUCACCGUGGUACGUGUGGGGCUUGGACAACACAGUACCACCUUGUCUGGGAUUAAACG
rnacentral:lncRNA from 1 species